UGAGCACAAGAGGUGGACAACCUUACCCCGUCUCUGGGCUGCUCUGAGGAUGAGACAAACAUGCAUGAACACCUAGGCGGUGCCUGGCACACAGUAGCCACAAAGACUUACGAACAGGGAUGUGUGCACCUGUCGGGCACUGCACAACUUCUCAAACUUUGGAAUCCAAGCGGACACCACUAUUCUUACUGUUUGUCAUGGGUUACUCAAGUGCCACAAUCCCAGCUUUGCAAAGAUAUGGUGCCAAAUAAAGGAAAACAGAGUGAUAUGAUGCUGAAACUGAGCUACCUGGAGCUACUUGUUGGUGCAGUGUCUGACAGCUAUCUAGUAUUACCGUGUC
rnacentral:lncRNA from 10 species